ensembl:lncRNA
AGCUGAUCAUCAUCGUAAAUGAAGGAGUAGUUAGUUCCUCCCUUGCUGAGAUGGGAAUUCAUCUACUCUAUUAAUAGACUUUACUACCAUGGAGCAAAAAAGUAGAGAACUACUGUGAAAAUUAAAAGCCACUGUUCUCCUUUUGAGUGUUUACUCUCUGCAAAAUCCCAGCAGAACGAGUUAUCAGAAAAUGGAUGAAAGAAUGCCCUCUAGAGGCAGAAUUCAGCUGAAUAAAAUUCCCAGAUACAGAGAAGAAGAAUUGGAGAACAUAAACAUUACAGCCAUAUGGAGAAGAGUUGGCAUUGCUCAAGCCUCGUGUAAAUACAAACAAGGAAAUGCUGCCUUCUAUGAUGCCUGUUAUAGCAUGAAACUGUAUGAAUUUCAUCCAUGAUUUCUGACAUUUGAUCUUCGUAUAGGAGCAGAGGAUGCCAAGAGAAGAGGAGCCUCGUGUGAGACCUCAGCGGGUAGCUUCUAUCCUCCCUCAUUCUGCUUCAACAGGAGCAAGCAGACCAAGAAGAUGAGAUGAAUUCAUGGACUUUUGGAUAAUACACAGCUGAGACAGUCUACCAUGGAAGCAACUCCUACCACUUUGGAUAACACACACUGAGGAAGAUAUAGUCAUUUUUGGUGUCCCAGAGAAACAGCUGCAGUCCUCAGAGGGUUGUUAUGAGGAUGGUUUCAACACUGCUGCCUCUUUUUGCAACAUCAAAGUAUCCUUUGCAAAGAUUCUAUUCUUAUGUUUACAAACUAAUGAAGAAGCUCUACUUCUAGAGUUGUUCUAGAAGUGUUAUUAACUGAAAUGUGUAAAUAAGGAAGCAAUCUGAAGAACAAGAAGCUCAGUUGAUGGUAGUUUAAUUGAAAGCACUGCUUAAACAAAAGGAAGGGGGCACAGCUAACAAAAUGGAAAAGGGAAAAUCGGUAGAAAAGUAACAGUAGUUGUAAGCUGCUGUGAAACAACACAGACUAAAGAAAAUUGUGUUUAUGUUUUGGGUUUUGUUUUUGUUGCUAGUUUAUUGUUUUUAUAAUGAAUCACACAGAAAUGUAAGAGAAACCAGCAGCAAAGACCUGCAGUGAGAUACUGUGUAGAUUUGUAACGCAGUGCAAAUGCACACAAGUGUUAAAAUACAUUGUCCUAUUUUGAUUAGAGACUCAUGGCUACAACCUGGCUUAUCUCCUUACAUCUCAUACCAAGCAUGUAAGUCUGCAGAGCAUAAAACUGGCUGUACAUUUUGCUUGAGCACACUUGCAAUCCAUCUUGUAAAAAAAAAAAAAAAAAAAAAAAAAAAAAAAAAAAAACCCACAAAAAAACACACCAACCCUCGCAGCCAUGGGAAUAGUCACAGCCUUGUUAAUUUUCAGAAGUCCCCAGUGGGACAUCAUUUUCUUUUAUCUUUUCACAGAUAGCCCGUAGAAUCUUAUGCAUCUUGUGCUGGUUUGGUAUUGAGUGGGCUAUAGUUAUGUAUUAUUUAACACUUUGGCCAAGCCUUGGUUUCAUGAACAAUUCAUCUUCUGCUGUGUGCAUCUGCUCUAGUGAGUAAUGAAGGCGACCAGCCUACGAUUGUGAAGUGCCCCGGGUUCUCUCUCUUACCUAAUUCUGCUUAACGGCAUUUUGAGCUAAUUUUUCUCCUGCCUUUCCUUUGAGAUAAUUCUUUUCUCAGAUGCUGAAUAAUGUCUUCAUCUUACGUAUUGCCAUGACAGUGUCCAUAGGGAAGCUACAAAGCUCGCUAAUGCUGUCACACCCUGUAUUUACUGUUAGAAAUCCUGGUAAUGCAAAGUGCCUGGGGUCAAAGGGGCUACAGAUUUUAGUUUAUAUUUACAGGGAUCCUACUAGCUCUUCUGAUUUAUUGGUUUUUGUGAUCAGUUGGAUAAAUGAAGAUAUUCUGGAACCAUACAUGAAAUACUAAUCUUUUCAGCUUCGUCAUGAACCUUUGCUAAGUGCUAGGACAUUAUAUAAUAGUCUGUUGUUCAGCUAUUCCUCAGUUUUCAGAGGAAAAAAUAAUGUUUCAAAAUUAACUUCCUUAGGCUCUGUUUUUAUGGAAUAUGAGCAGUAUAUUUGCCUAACCUCCGCAGCUCAGAAUUUUCAGAGGGUUAGUCAAGGUAAAAUUGACAAUGUCUAUAUAAAAUGAUGACUAUGCUGAGUAUUUCUUAACUUGCCAGGAAUGGUGAUGACGUGGGGCUUUUUAAAAGCGUGUGUGUGUUUGUUUUUGUUGUUGUGCUUGAGCAAAGGCUCAAGCUUUUGUUGAGGUUUUUUGCCUACCUUCUUUGAUAGACUUCCUGCAUUGCCUGUCCAAAUAUAUUUGCUGCUGUGUGAGAGAUUUCUGUUAUAUCAUUCUAUAAGUUUCUCUCCUUCCAGAAUGAAAUAUCAAGCUGAGGCUAAACUGUAAAAAUAAUGUGUAAACCCAAUUAGGUUAGAUUUCAACUGGGGCUUAUUGGUUAAACUGUAGGAGAGACAUGUUCAGUUUGUACUCUCUGGACAGAGUGUGUACAUCUCACUUAAAAUGGAUGAAAGUAUAUUGAUUUGUGCACAUUGAGAACAGGGCCCUUGCUUUAGCUCAGCAGCUUCAUGGGUCUUGAGUUGGACAGACUUCUCUGUAUGAAUUAACUGCAGUAAGAAGAGGGGGGGAAAGGGAGUUCAUCCUAAUGUUAGUAUUUGUCAGUGUCUCUUUGCAGAGUACUAAAAUGACAAGGAUUGGUUCAGUGACCAUCUUGUAUGGUAUGUUGACACUGAAAAGCAUAACACUGCCACUGCAUACUUCUGCUUUCCGUUCCUUGUUUCUGUAUCAGCACAGCACGCAUCUACUCAUGCACACGACAUACAAUUUGUGCCAUUAAUGAAACUGCAGGAAAAUGACUCAGGUGUGGCUUAAAAGGAGGUGAAAAUGCAUGCAUCCAUACAAGUGUGUGUUAGGAAGAUGGGAUUUGCAAUAUUUUUGUUUUAUAAGUAAACUUUUACUCUUUUUUUUUUUUUACUGAACAGUUAAGAAAAUAAAAAAAUUAAUCGCCUAACACCAUGUGAGGUGAUGUUCAGAGCAGCAUAGGCUGUUCUAAUGGCUGAUUUUAAUAAUAAAAGACAACAGGGGACUAAAAGGUGUGGUGUGGUAAGCUGAGAAACACAUUCCUUUCCCCAGAGGGUGUACUUAGCUUUGUGCCUUUGAUCACUUGAGAAGUACCAUCAGAGUGCAAAAUGGCAGGCACUAGGGAACAUUACGGCAAUUAUAAGGUGAUCGUUUUUAAAAAAUCAAAAGAAGUUUGAACUUAUUUGGGAGCUUUUUCCCAUUCAAGUCUGCUUGCAUCUGAACGGUAAGAUGCUGUAUUAGAUAAAUAUGCACACUUCAGUGGGACUGUUCUUCAGAUAUUGACUCCGAAGUUAGCUCUGGUGCUGAACAAUCUGUACAGAACAGGC